rnacentral:lncRNA from 1 species
AAAAUAUUUCCAUUGGUUUCUUUAUUCUUAUAAUUUUUACAAGAGAAAUUGAAAAUGGAUUUACAACCGAAAGGCGUAAAAUUCGUUAUAAAUUUGAUGCGACAGUUCAAAGUUUUGUACUUUCCAGACCUGCACAACGAAUUACCUAUUUGAAAAAUAGAAAAUGGUUAAAAAUUGCUGAUGUGAUAGAGGAUUCAAGUACCAUUUACAAACAAAAUAUUGAAGAGAAUGUGCUGGAAAGGAAAUUCAUAUGAAUUCUUUUUUGUUGACCAGGAUGGAAAAAGUCAUUGGAACCCAUAGUUAGAAUAAGAAUAAGUUAGGCCUAGAGGUGUACCAGCCAGAAGUAGAGGAUGACAA